UUUGAAGACACCCAUGUUAGACGUUACGGCAUCUGAUUCUUACCCUCUCCCUCUGAUCUUACAGGAGGGACAGUUCUCUGCUCCACUGAAGCUAGGAUGAAGGUACGUGUUGAGACGGAGGUGCCAUUAAACUGAAGCAGCUGAGAAUGCCCAGCCAACAUAUGGAGGACAGCUGCCCUGGAGAGCAUCCUGGGCCAGUGAUGACUCUGCUUGAGCAAGAAAUACACUUCUGUUUUUUACAUCCCUGAAAUCUUGGAAUUAUUUGUUACUGUAGCAACCUAUCUAAACUGAUCAAUUCAAGAUGAAACUGAAUAUAUUGAGUUAACA
rnacentral:lncRNA from 1 species